rfam:Dipodomys ordii contig_63326, whole genome shotgun sequence.
GGUGGCUCAAUGGUAGAGCGCUUGCCUUGCAUGCUCGAGGCCCUGGGUUCGAUUCCUCAGCACCA